rnacentral:rRNA from 1 species
GACGAACGCUGGCGGCGUGCUUAACACAUGCAAGUCGAACGGAAAGGCCCUGCUUUUGUGGGGUGCUCGAGUGGCGAACGGGUGAGUAACACGUGAGUAACCUGCCCUUGACUUUGGGAUAACUUCAGGAAACUGGGGCUAAUACCGGAUAGGAGCUCCUGCUGCAUGGUGGGGGUUGGAAAGUUUCGGCGGUUGGGGAUGGACUCGCGGCUUAUCAGCUUGUUGGUGCGGUAGUGGCUUACCAAGGCUUUGACGGGUAGCCGGCCUGAGAGGGUGACCGGCCACAUUGGGACUGAGAUACGGCCCAGACUCCUACGGGAGGCAGCAGUGGGGAAUAUUGCACAAUGGGCGGAAGCCUGAUGCAGCAACGCCGCGUGCGGGAUGACGGCCUUCGGGUUGUAAACCGCUUUCGCCUGUGACGAAGCGUGAGUGACGGUAAUGGGUAAAGAAGCACCGGCUAACUACGU